GACGAACGCUGGCGGCGUGCUUAACACAUGCAAGUCGAACGAAGUGGCGAACGGGUGAGUAACGCGUAAUCAACCUGCCCUUCAGAGGGGUACAACAGUUGGAAACGACUGCUAAUACCGCAUACUGAAGGAGGGGAUUGCUUCUGAUUGGCUAGUUGGAGGGGUAACGGCCCACCAGGGCGAUGAUCAGUAGCCGGUCUGAGGGGGUGAACGGCCAAAUUGGGGAUGAGUGACGGCCCGGACUCCGACGGGAGGCAGCAGGAGGGAAUCUGCCGCAAUGGACGAAAGUCUUACGGGGCAACGCCGCGUGAGUGAUGACGGCCUUCGGGUUGUAAAGCUCUGUUAAUCGGGACGCGGUACCGGAAUAGAAAGCCACGGCUAACUACGUGCCAGCAGCCGCGGUAAUAC
rnacentral:rRNA from 1 species